rnacentral:rRNA from 1 species
UGCGAACUCCUACGGGAGGCAGCAGUGGGGAAUUUUGGACAAUGGGCGCAAGCCUGAUCCAGCCGUGCCGCGUGAGUGAAGAAGGCCUUCGGGUUGUAAAGCUCUUUCAGCCGGGAAGAAAACGCAUGGGUUAAUACCCUGUGUGGAUGACGGUACCGGAAUAAGAAGCACCGGCUAACUACGUGCCAGCAGCCGCGGUAGUACGUAGGGUGCGAGCGUUAAUCGGAAUUACUGGGCGUAAAGCGUGCGCAGGCGGUUUGGUAAGACAGGCGUGAAAUCCCCGGGCUUAACCUGGGAACUGCGUUUGUGACUACCAGGCUAGAGUACGGCGGAGGGGGGUGGAAUUCCACGUGUAGCAGUGAAAUGCGUAGAGAUGUGGAGGAACACCAAUGGCGAAGGCAGCCCCCUGGGUCGAUACUGACGCUCAUGCACGAAAGCGUGGGUAGCAAACAGGAUUAGAAACCCUUGUAGUCCAGAUG